GCUUGUCUCAAAGAUUAAGCCAUGCAUGUUCAAACAUAAGUAUUAUAAAGCGAAGUUGCGAAUGGCUCAUUAUAUCAGUUAUAAUAUACUAGAUAGUUUCUCUACUUGGAUAACCGUAGUAAUUCUAGAGCUAAUACAUGCAUCAAGCCCUGACUUCGGAAGGGGUGUAUUUAUUAGAUGGAAACCAAUGCGGGGCAACCCGGAAAAUGGUGAUUCAUAAUAACUUUCGGAUCGUUUACGAUGCAUCAUUCAAGUUUCUGCCCUAUCAGCUUUGGAUGGUAGGGUAUUGGCCUACCAUGGCUUUAACGGGUAACGGAGAAUUAGGGUUCGAUUCCGGAGAGGGAGCCUGAGAAAUGGCUACCACAUCCAAGGAAGGCAGCAGG
rnacentral:rRNA from 1 species